GGGAUUAAACUUUUGCUACAGUCUCAUGUCCAACUUUUGCAUGUUUGAGUUCUACGUGGAUAAAAAAAUAAAUUAAAAUACGCACAAAUGCUAUAACAACUUCAACAAUCUCCAUAUUGCUUUUGAACACCAAAAUCCAGAAUACAAAUUGUCACAAGAAUUAAAAUUAAAUUAGAUUCAAAUCGAUAAACAAGGACUUAAACUUCUACAAUCGACUCUGGUGCAACUUUUGCCUGUUGCUUGAGUUCCCUACGUGCAGAAAAAAUAAUUGCACAUGCUACGACAAUUUCAAAGAUGCCAACAAUGACAAUCGCAAUGCUACAAAUCAAGAAUUUGAGGGACGUAGUUUGGGAUAAAAUCAUCAUUAAAGUUAACCCCAAAACUAAAAUAAUAAGUAGGAAAGCGAAACAUAAACAAAAUAUAAAUCGUAAGAGUAAAUUGGUGCCUUCGUCCAUUGAUGUCACAAUUUUGAACCUUCCAGCGAUCCUUUUGCGUGGCGAUCCCUCAAGUUAUUAACAAGUAG
rnacentral:lncRNA from 1 species